ensembl:lncRNA
AUGAAGAUGAGGCACCACCAAGAGACACUCUGCAGAGGAGCUCCCAACUUUGGGAAGAACAAGGUUUGGGAUUUUAGCUCUGCUUUCAAUCUUUUUCAGAACAAGAGGAUACAAACCAAAACAAGACAUAAUAGAGACAUGCAGGAAGUGGAAACGAUACACACCACCAUGUGAACCUAGGAGAGAUCAACAUACAAUUUACAUAAGUCACCGUAAACAAGCUUUGGGUGGAACUGAGGCAAGAAAAGAAUGGCAGUGUGUUGCUGCGACUUCCCUGUGUAUAAAAUAAUUUCUGUGCUCUUGCACAAGCAGAAGACAAGUGACGGAAAGCAACAGGGACAGGCCCUUGCAAGGGAUGCCCAUGCCCAGUAACCAGAGACGACUGAUCUGUAAUGAAUAAAAUAAGUAGUCUGCCUAAUUCCUCAGCUGCAGUAUUUUGGUGUACAUUGAAAUCCAGAAGGAGCACAUUGAUUUUCAUUUGGCCAUCCAGGAUAAGUGAAGAUGGGAACCUCCUUAAUAAGCACAACUCAAAUCUCUGCAGCUCGUAAGACAAAUAACCAAAGAAGAAGGCACGCUACCAUGUGGAUAUUCACUCCCCUUUAUUGCAGAGGAAAAACUUCUGCAGAAGGAUGGGAGAAACAACAAAGGGCAGUAACAUUUUCAUCUGUCACUACAAUCCUAGCUAUUUUAUUUGCUGACUUCUGUGGUAUUUCACAUAAGGUUUAAUUAUAUACAGAUUCACAGCCACCUAAUAUAUUGACAACAGCUCUGGCUUUGACAGGGUUGGCCUGUUCAAAGUCACAUUUAGGCACAAUUAUGAUCCAGAAUUAGAUCUCCUCCAUAUUCCCUAAGAGGCCCGAGUGGUAGCAACCACAGAUCUUUGUUGGAUUCACCAUUGUGAAUCUCUCUUCUGGAGAUGAAAAUUUUACACCUGAAUUACACAAAGGCUUUUUGAAAGUAGCUAAGCUCUGUUGAAAUUUUUAGAAUAGAAAUUGUGAAAGAAAAGGAAGUCCCUAUGCUUCUCCUUGCUGUACAGUACUUGAGAUUACUGCUUUACUUUUCUCAAGAAUUUUCUGAUAACAAAAACUGCCUUAUUCAUACCAACACAAAACUAACUCUCCAUUGCAAGGCACAGUGGUACUGUUUUAUCAUAAAUCAGUGAGAAGAUUAGAAUAUAUGAUUUUUUUUUUUUUCAGGUGGAGACAUAGUGGUAAAAACAACCAAGCCAGGUAACACAAUAAUUUGACAGAAAACCACAAGAUGAAAGGAAGUAAAACAAUAUGAUACAGAUGAAAGGUGAUAAAGCAAAAACAUGACAAGAACUGGGCGUGAAGUAACAGCAUUAGGACACGAGAUAAUAUGAAGUGAUGAAAAAGAAUCAGCCUGAUAUGUUUUCUGAUGAUGCUACAUAGGAAGAUGCAUUAUGAGGAUACGUUACAGUGACAAAACAUACUUUUGGACUACACAACAGACAAUGCAUAAAUGGAAAAAACAGAAAACCACACAGGAGAUAGAACAAAACAUUCUGCUAUUUAUACAUUAAUGAUAUUAUUUCAAUUUUAAGUAGCUGAAACCAAUAGAAGUGUUCAUGUGGAGACACUAAAUUAAUUGAAGGCAUUCAUUUGAUACAAAUAACCUAAAUGUCUCAUCAAAGACAGCAGCAGCCAGCAGAAAUACUCUGCUCUCCAAGUACCAAUACCACAUUCCAGGGCUGUGUGGUAUAACUAUCAGGGUGACAAGACUGAUGUGUGACUGGGAUUUAGGAGAGUGAGAGAGCAGCCCUUGACCCUUACCUAUGUGAGCAAGAGAAGAUGUGCAGAUGAAAGUUCCAGUCUAUUUUAUUCUACUGUAAUAUAUCAUACUGUUGAGUCCUAUAUAAUAAAGUCGGGUGCCUCUGCUAUGUUUAUGUAUCGCUGUAUUUAAAACAAGGUAAAAUCACUGAAGUUUAGAC